AGCCGCACACUCCCUCUCCCAACCAAAACUUCUUUGUCUUGUAGUUGGAGAAAAGUAGCAGAUAGGCCAAGGGAUCCAGCUAAAUGGAGUGAGAUUGCUGAUGUUGUAGCAGCAUUAUCUAUUCCAGUUAUUGCUAAUGGUGAUGUCUUUGAAUAUGAUUCAUCUUUGGUAUUG